AACUUACACCAGACAUCAAAGUGCAUUUGUGUUAAUUUUGUCUUUUAGAAUUUCAGCUCAUUUUUCCAGAGGACACAAUUACCCUGCAAAGUGUACUGCACUUAAGCUGAGAAGUACCUCCGAAGUAAAAUAACUUAGCUGAACCCAACUAACAGGCUAUUUUGUAUGCAAGAGUCCUGGUCCUUUCCCAGGAUUGCCUUGCAGGCUGUGCCCCGUGGACCACCCUUCACCACCAGUCAUGGGCUAUAGGCCACAUCCCCCUCCUCCACCUACUCUAUUUGUUAAGAUGACCUGAACUGGCUGAGUGGCUGGACAACUCUUUUGAAAUUUGAAGAGGACUGUGCACAGUGACAGACAAUCGUGUUUGCAUAUACAUUUUAAGAAGGUGUCAGAUCUACCUGAAUGCUUUCCCUGCCCAUCCUGUCCCCUCCACUUUGUCCUUCCUACUGUCCCCUAAUCUACGUUUCAUCGUUUUGUCUCUGUGCCAGCGUCUGCUUCUAGGGCCAUCUACUCUCGCUCCCCAUUGAGUGCACACAGUGGGGUUCCUGUACACACAGGUAACAAAGUGCCAGAAAUGGUGGUGAGGGAGGAUAGAAGCAAGAUCACCCUUUGUGCGGGGGAGCCUGAGGGAGUUUUCCGGGGCGAUGGGAACUACCUAUAUCUAGAUUGAUGGGGUGCUUAUGCUCAAUUAUUUUGGAAAUAUUCCCUGACUCCAUGGUGCCUUGGGGUCAGACAGGUAUCUGUCCUUAGGAAAUGGCUGAGUUCUAAUGGUGGAGAAGAAUGAGGGACCAGCAGUGACUGUGGUAGAGGAGUAAGGGUCAGACCCACGCCCAGGAUGCCAGGUCUCCACAGACAGCACCAAGUGUAGGAGGAUUCUGAGGAGCAGAGAUUUCUUGAUCAGACCCGUGGACUACAUAAUCCUCCUGUAGUUUCCUCACUGAGCGAUGGCUAGAGCCGAGGCCAGCAGCUGGAGGACACCUGAUCAUGGCUGGAGUGGAGCAGUGGGCCUGGGGGAUUGAGUCAGGGAAAGGGCCAGGCAGAAGGUAGUGACAGGGAGUUUGAGAGACAAACGGAAGAGAAGAGAAGGGACCCUUCUCUGCUGACUUCACCUACAUUUCUGUGUGACCAAAACGAGACCCCUGUCUCCCACGGAAGGGAAGAGGGCUGGCAAAACACCGAGUGACAUACUCAGCUCAAGUGCCCAGGGUAUCUGCCUUGCUCUUGAGUACCUAACACAGGAAGCACGUGCUUUCUGUCAUGAUUGGAACUGCAGCUCGUACCAUUUAGUGAAAAUCAAUCCAAUUAUGCAUCCCUCAGCAUUAAAGUACUCCAACAAAAUUAAGUGAACAGACUGAAAGAUACAAGGCAGGAUAAAGUCCAAAGGUAGAGCGAUGGCAAUACUUACGGGAAUACAGUCUAUCCGAAAAGGAGGUAGGUACCCUAGUGCAGGCCUCAGCCACCUGGGCAAUAUCUGAAAACGUAAAAAAAAAAAAAAAAAAAAAAAAAAGUCCUUCCUCCAAAAGCAACAUUAGCUCUAGACACAAAGGGAUCAUGAUUAAGGUUUAGAGAGCAACCAUAUGACUUCAUGGUGCUGUAUCCAUGAGAUCAAGUUUCAUCAAAUUAUACCCUUUAAUUUGAGGCUCUUUGUUAUAUGUAAAUUAUACCUCAUUAAAGAGAGUUUCAAAACAUAAAA